rnacentral:rRNA from 1 species
AUUGAACGCUGGCGGCAGGCUUAACACAUGCAAGUCGAACGAGUGGCGGACGGGUGAGUAAUGCUUGGGAAUCUGGCUUAUGGAGGGGGAUAACUACGGGAAACUGUAGCUAAUACCGCGUACCAUAGGAUGAGCCCAAGUGGGAUUCGGUAGUUGGUGAGGUAAAGGUUCACCAAGCCGACGAUCGCUAGCUGGUCUGAGAGGAUGACCAGACAAACGGGGACGGAGACACGGCCCAGACUCCUACGGGAGGCAACAGUGGGGAAUAUUGCGCAAUGGGGGCAACCUGACGCAGCCAUGCCGCGUGAAUGAAGAAGGCCUUCGGGUUGUAAAGUUCUUUCGGUAGCGAGGCGUUAACUACAGAAGAAGCACCGGCUAACUCCGUGCCAGCCGCCGCGGUAAUUC